UACGGAGGGUGCAAGCGUUAUCCGGAUUCACUGGGUUUAAAGGGUGCGUAGGCGGCCUUGCAAGUCAGUGGUGAAAGCCCGCAGCUUAACUGCGGAACUGCCAUUGAAACUGCCAGGCUUGAGUAUAAUUGAAGUGGGUGGAAUGCAUCAUGUAGCGGUGAAAUGCUUAGAUAUGAUGCAGAACCCCGAUUGCGAAGGCAGCUCACUAAAUUGUAACUGACGCUGAGGCACGAAAGCGUGGGUAGCGAACAGG
rnacentral:rRNA from 1 species